rnacentral:rRNA from 1 species
UACGGAGGGUGCAAGCGUUGCUCGGAAUUAUUGGGCGUAAAGGGUAGGUAGGUGGUCUCAUUUGUCUGAGGUGAAAGCCUUGGGCUUAACUCAAGAAGUGCCUCAGAAACGGUGAGACUGGAGUCCUGGAGAGGGUCGUGGAAUUCCCGGUGUAGCGGUGAAAUGCGUAGAGAUCGGGAGGAACACCAGAGGCGAAAGCGGCGACCUGGACAGGUACUGACACUCAACUACGAAAGCGUGGGGAGCAAACAGG